rnacentral:rRNA from 1 species
UACGAAGGGGGCUAGCGUUGCUCGGAAUCAUUGGGCGUAAAGGGUGCGUAGGUGGCGCUGUAAGUCAGGUGUGAAAUUUCGGAGCUCAACUCCGAAACUGCAUUUGAUACUGCGGUGCUUGAGGACUGGAGAGGAGACUGGAAUUCACGGUGUAGCAGUGAAAUGCGUAGAGAUCGUAAGGAAGACCAGUGGCGAAGGCGGGUCUCUGGACAGUUCCUGACACUGAGGCACGAAGGCCAGGGGAGCAAACGGG